rnacentral:rRNA from 1 species
GUGCCUAAUACAUGCAAGUCGAGCGAGCGGAACUAACAGAUUUACUUCGGUAAUGACGUUAGGAAAGCGAGCGGCGGAUGGGUGAGUAACACGUGGGGAACCUGCCCCAUAGUCUGGGAUACCACUUGGAAACAGGUGCUAAUACCGGAUAAGAAAGCAGAUCGCAUGAUCAGCUUUUAAAAGGCGGCGUAAGCUGUCGCUAUGGGAUGGCCCCGCGGUGCAUUAGCUAGUUGGUAAGGUAAAGGCUUACCAAGGCGAUGAUGCAUAGCCGAGUUGAGAGACUGAUCGGCCACAUUGGGACUGAGACACGGCCCAAACUCCUACGGGAGGCAGCAGUAGGGAAUCUUCCACAAUGGACGCAAGUCUGAUGGAGCAACGCCGCGUGAGUGAAGAAGGUUUUCGGAUCGUAAAGCUCUGUUGUUGGUGAAGAAGGAUAGAGGUAGUAACUGGCCUUUAUUUGACGGUAAUCAACCAGAAAGUCACGGCUAACUACGUGCCAGCAGCCGCGGUAAUACGUAGGUGGCAAGCGUUGUCCGGAUUUAUUGGGCGUAAAGCGAGCGCAGGCGGAAGAAUAAGUCUGAUGUGAAAGCCCUCGGCUUAACCGAGGAACUGCAUCGGAAACUGUUUUUCUUGAGUGCAGAAGAGGAGAGUGGAACUCCAUGUGUAGCGGUGGAAUGCGUAGAUAUAUGGAAGAACACCAGUGGCGAAGGCGGCUCUCUGGUCUGCAACUGACGCUG